rnacentral:rRNA from 1 species
GACGAACGCUGGCGGCGUGCUUAACACCCGAUGGUCUCGGUUUAAGGCAUCUUAGACUGAGUAAAGAUUUAUCGGCGAUGGAUGAGGAUGCGUCUGAUUAGGUAGAUGGCGGGGUAACGGCCCACCAUGCCUUCGAUCAGUAGGGGUUCUGAGAGGAAGGUCCCCCACAUUGGAACUGAGACACGGUCCAAACUCCUACGGGAGGCAGCAGUGAGGAAUAUUGGUCAAUGGACGAGAGUCUGAACCAGCCAAGUAGCGUGAAGGAAGACUGCCCUAUGGGUUGUAAACUUCUUUUGUUUGGGAAUAAAGUGCGGGACGUGUCCCGUUUUGUAUGUACCAUUCGAAUAAGCAUCGGCUAAUUCCGUG